GGGCAGGUGAUGAAUCUGGAUUUAGUUAAAUGGGUAAUUUGCGUCUGAAAUUUUUCAUUGAUGCUAUUUCACAAUGGAGAACUGAUGCCCAUGUUACCUCUAAAAUUCUUUAAAUAUAGGUAUUUGUGAAUAAUUGAAUGAAUGUUAUUGGGCUAGAAUGGAGACGAAAAUAUUUAGGGUUUCCAGCUAGAAUUGGGCAAGGGAUGAAUGCCCAUAAUUAAUGGGUAGUUUCCAUCUGAAUAUUUCUUUGAUGUUUUUUCACCUUGGAGUACUGAUGCCCUAUUUUUUUUCAUAAAUUUUUUUAUAAUUUCUUAAUUUAUACAUCUACCCAUAAAUUAGAGGUAGAUACCCAAUGAAAUUAAAUCAAGACAGUAUUAGUAAUUGUUGAUUAACCUACAAUUCUUUCUAAUCUCUCCUUGAUGUCCUGUAAGCACAUUAAUGUUACCCAUCUUCACUAUAGAUUUCACAAAUGAAUCAAAGAAGAGGUCUUGAUUGGAAGCAUAGCUCCACACUUGCUUUAUUAUUUCUCCUUCUUCAUCUUCACUUACCAACACAUUAUCCGACCCCAGUAACCCUUUUCCUUCAAGCAAGUUGAUGUAGUAAUGGUUGUCAAACCUUGAGGGGGUCUUCAAAUCAAGCGGCGCCAAUUCACUGUCUCUUCCUGAAUCGGAGCAUGUGGACCGUAAGCAUCCCGGGCGACAAUGGCCAAGAUGUCAGCACACGAGACUGUAAGGGGACAAGCUUCUUCCAAAAGAGAUUUGAUCUCAUCUAUAACUAGAAAUCCGCGUAUAGAAUUGAGAUUAGGCCCUGCUUCCUUUUCACUGAUCAUGUCUCCAUGGCUAUCCAGUAGGACUGAUGCAUCACAUCCCUGAUCAGUAGUGUAUGUUUUCUUCAUCAUUCAUACAAAAUACAUAUCAUAUAUGAAGUGGGUAUACAUCAAAUGUGUUACAUUGGAGAGAUAGAAAGGGGUAAUUGAUUACCAAGACAAAACAGUCAUGAAAAUGUAAUCUGAGGAGCGAGGCAGCCAUUCGAGGAUCCUUGAGCACUGCAAUCUCCACCAUUCGUCCGAUGAUUUCUUCUGCUAAAGGGCAUGUUUCUUUGUAAAAAUCAAGCUGAAGAAGUCCUUCAUCACUCGUCGCCAAUGAACUCUUCAUCAUCAUCAGCAUCGUCAAAACAACUGCUACCUCAAUCAACCGUCUCAUCUUCUGGUACUGUUCUGUCCCAGAUCUUGCAUGAAAAUGAUACUUGAGCGAUCGCAUGUAAGGAGGAUAUUAAUAGUCAAAGCUUGUUUGUGUUCUA